rnacentral:rRNA from 1 species
GUGGGGAAUCUUCCACAAUGGACGAAAGUCUGAUGGAGCAACGCCGCGUGAGUGAAGAAGGGUUUCGGCUCGUAAAGCUCUGUUGUCGGGGACGAAUGUGCAGUAUUUGAAUAAAGUAUUGCAAUGACGGUACCUGACGAGGAAGCCACGGCUAACUACGUGCCAGCAGCCGCGGUAAUACGUAGGUGGCAAGCGUUGUCCGGAAUUAUUGGGCGUAAAGGGAGCGCAGGCGGGAAGGUAAGUCGGUCUUAAAAGUGCGGGGCUCAACCCCGUGAUGGGAUCGAAACUAGCUUUCUUGAGUGCAGGAGAGGAAAGUGGAAUUCCUAGUGUAGCGGUGAAAUGCGUAGAUAUUAGGAGGAACACCAGUGGCGAAGGCGACUUUCUGGACUGUAACUGACGCUGAGGCUCGAAAGCCAGGGGAGCGAACGGGAUUAGAUACCCCGGUAGUCC